AUGGGGCCGCUACCUGCGUGCCUGCCAAUCAUGCUGCUCCUGCUGCUGCUGCUGCUGCUGCUGCUUGGACCUGGCCCCAGGUCUGGCGAGGCCUCCAGGAUAUUAUGUGUGCACCGGCGUGGGAUCCUGGAACUGGCAGGAAUUGUGGGUUGUGUUGGUCCCUAGACUCCCAUCGCCUAUACGAAAUAUGGUUCCUUUUGUGGCUUGGGAGGCCAUGGCCAGCCCUGCGAUGCCAUUGACUGGUGCUGCCAUGGCCACGACUGUUGUUACACUCGAGCUGAGGAGGCCGGCUGCAGCCCCAAGACAGAGCGCUACUCCUGGCAGUGCGUCAAUCAGAGCGUCCUGUGCGGU
rnacentral:lncRNA from 10 species